UGGUAAUUCUAGAGCUAAUACAUGCUAAAAACCUCGACUUCGGAAGGGGUGUAUUUAUUAGAUAAAAAACCAAUGCCCUUCGGGGCUCCUUGGUGAUUCAUGAUAACUUAACGAAUCGCAUGGCCUUGUGCCGGCGAUGGUUCAUUCAAAUUUCUGCCCUAUCAACUUUCGAUGGUAGGAUAGUGGCCUACCAUGGUUUCAACGGGUAACGGGGAAUUAGGGUUCUAUUCCGGAGAGGGAGCCUGAGAAACGGCUACCACAUCCAAGGAAGGCAGCAGGCGCGCAAAUUACCCAAUCCCGACACGGGGAGGUAGUGACAAUAAAUACUGAUACAGGGCUCUUUUGGGUCUUGUAAUUGGAAUGAGUACAAUUUAAAUCCCUUAACGAGGAACAAUUGGAGGGCAAGUCUGGUGCCAGCAGCCGCGGUAAUUCCAGCUCCAAUAGCGUAUAUUAAAGUUGUUGCAGUUAAAAAGCUCGUAGUUGAACCUUGGGCCUGGUUGGUCGGUCCGCCUCGCGGCGUGCACUGAUCCGACCGGGCCUUUCCUUCUGGGGAACCGCAUGCCCUUCAUUGGGUGUGUUGGGGAUCCAGGACUUUUACUUUGAAAAAAUUAGAGUGUUCAAAGCAGGCAUAUGCUCGAAUACAUUAGCAUGGAAUAAUAGAAUAGGACGUGUGGUUCUAUUUUGUUGGUUUCUAGGACCGCCGUAAUGAUUAAUAGGGAUAGUCGGGGGCAUCAGUAUUCCGUUGUCAGAGGUGAAAUUCUUGGAUUUACGGAAGACUAACUACUGCGAAAGCAUUUGCCAAGGAUGUUUUCAUUAAUCAGUGAACGAAAGUUAGGGGAUCGAAGACGAUCAGAUACCGUCGUAGUCUUAACCAUAAACUAUGCCGACUAGGGAUCGGGCGAUGUUAUCUUUUUGACUCGCUCGGCACCUUACGAGAAAUCAAAGUUUUUGGGUUCUGGGGGGAGUAUGGUCGCAAGGCUGAAACUUAAAGAAAUUGACGGAAGGGCACCACCAGGAGUGGAGCCUGCGGCUUAAUUUGACUCAACACGGGGAAACUCACCAGGUCCAGACACAAUAAGGAUUGACAGAUUGAGAGCUCUUUCUUGAUUUUGUGGGUGGU
rnacentral:rRNA from 1 species